GAUGAACGCUGGCGGCGUGCUUAACACAUGCAAGUCGAACGGUGAACGAGGGAGCUUGCUCCCUCCGGAUCAGUGGCGAACGGGUGAGUAACACGUGAGCAAUCUGCCCUGGACUCUGGGAUAAGCGUUGGAAACGACGUCUAAUACCGGAUACGAGACGCGAAGGCAUCUUCAGCGUCUGGAAAGAACUUCGGUCCAGGAUGAGCUCGCGGCCUAUCAGGUAGUUGGUGAGGUAACGGCUCACCAAGCCUACGACGGGUAGCCGGCCGGAGGGGGUGACCGGCCACACUGGGACUGAGACACGGCCCAGACUCCUACGGGAGGCAGCAGUGGGGAAUAUUGCACAAUGGGCGCAAGCCUGAUGCAGCAACGCCGCGUGAGGGACGACGGCCUUCGGGUUGUAAACCUCUUUUAGCAGGGAAGAAGCGAAAGUGACGGUACCUGCAGAAAAAGCACCGGCUAACUACGUGCCAGCCGCCGCGGUAAUAC
rnacentral:rRNA from 1 species